rnacentral:rRNA from 1 species
UACGUAGGGGGCAAGCGUUGUCCGGAUUUAUUGGGCGUAAAGCGCGUGUAGGCGGCUUUGCAAGUCGGGUGUGAAAGCCCUCGGCUCAACCGAGGAAGUGCGCCCGAAACUGCAGAGCUUGAGUGCCGGAGAGGAUGGCGGAAUUCCCCAAGUAGAGGUGAAAUUCGUAGAUAUGGGGAGGAACACCGGUGGCGAAGGCGGCCAUCUGGACGGUCACUGACGCUGAGACGCGAAAGCGUGGGGAGCAAACAGG